rnacentral:rRNA from 1 species
CCUAAUACAUGCAAGUCGAGCGGACCAAAUCGGAGCUUGCUCUGAUUUGGUCAGCGGCGGACGGGUGAGUAACACGUGGGCAACCUGCCCGCAAGACCGGGAUAACUCCGGGAAACCGGAGCUAAUACCGGAUAACACCGAACACCGCAUGGUCUUUGGUUGAAAGGCGGCCUUUGGCUGUCACUUGCGGAUGGGCCCGCGGCGCAUUAGCUAGUUGGUGAGGUAACGGCUCACCAAGGCGACGAUGCGUAGCCGGCCUGAGAGGGUGACCGGCCACGCUGGGACUGACACACGCCCCAGACUCCUACGGGAGGCAGCAGUAGGGAAUCUUCCGCAAUGGGCGAAAGCCUGACGGAGCGACGCCGCGUGAGCGAAGAAGGCCUUCGGGUCGUACAGCUCUGUUGUGAGGGACGAAGGAGCGCCGUUUGAACAAGGCGGCGCGGUGACGGUACCUCACAAGGAAGCCCCGGCUAACUACGUGCCAGCAGCCGCGGUAAUACGUACGGGGCGAGCGUUGUCCGGAAUUAUUGGGCGUAAAGCGCGCGCAGGCGGUCUCUUACGUCUGAUGUGAAAGCCCACGGCUCAACCGUGCAGGGUCAUAGCAAACUGGGGGACUUGAGUGCAGGAGAGGAGAGCGGAAUUCCACGU